UACAGAGGGGGCGAGCGUUAUUCGGAAUUAUUGGGCGUAAAGGGCGCGUAGGCGGCUUUGCAAGUGACGGGUGAAAUCCCUCGGCUUAACCGAGGAACUGCCUGUCAAACUGCAUGGCUUGAGACCGGGAGAGGUGAGUGGAAUUCCCAGUGUAGCGGUGAGAUGCGUAGAUAUUGGGAGGAACACCAGUGGCGAAGGCGGCUCACUGGACCGGUACUGACGCUGAGGCGCGAAAGCGUGGGUAGCAAACAGG
rnacentral:rRNA from 1 species